UGCCAGCAGCCUGAAAGCAGAGAAGAAAUGCUGAGCAGCUCCGGCAGCAGGAGGAGGCAGUUCUGUGCUUCACACGGCAGAGGGGACUCAGCAGGUGUCGCUGAGCCUCGUCAAGAAGCCUCCACUCCUCCUGGGAAAAGUAGACGGCCACGUCCUCAAAGGUCAUGGAGCCCUGUGAUGAUGGGGACGGUUGCGUCCAUAAGCAGCCUCUCCCGGCAGGACCUGUCAUUUAGGUCCUGGGAGGUCCUGUAAGUUCAUCUGAUGACCUUCUGAGUCAAGAGCCACCACAAGAGCCUGGUGGGAGGGGUGCAUACACAGCUCUCCUCCCUUGUCCCCCAAGGGCAACGCCACUAUGACCGGAACGUGCCCCCACCAUAUCAGAUCCAGAGUUCAGCCUUGG